rnacentral:rRNA from 14 species
GGCUUGUUGCAGCCAAGUGUUGAUAGCGACAUUGCAUUUGGAUCCGUCGAUGCUGUGGGUGGCUCUUUCUAUCUAUG